CCUACGGGUGGCAGCAGUGGGGAAUAUUGCACAAUGGGGGAAACCCUGAUGCAGCGACGCCGCGUGAAGGAAGAAGUAUUUCGGUAUGUAAACUUCUAUCAGCAGGGAAGAAGAUGACGGUACCUGACUAAGAAGCACCGGCUAAAUACGUGCCAGCAGCCGCGGUAAUACGUAUGGUGCAAGCGUUAUCCGGAUUUACUGGGUGUAAAGGGAGCGUAGACGGAGAAGCAAGUCUGGAGUGAAAGCCCGGGGCUCAACCCCGGGACUGCUUUGGAAACUGUUUGUCUAGAGUGCCGGAGAGGUAAGCGGAAUUCCUAGUGUAGCGGUGAAAUGCGUAGAUAUUGGGAGGAACACCAGUGGCGAAGGCGGCCUACUGGGCACUAACUGACGCUGAGGCUCGAAAGCAUGGGUAGCAAACAGGAUUAGAUACCCGAGUAGUC
rnacentral:rRNA from 1 species